rnacentral:rRNA from 1 species
ACAAUGAAGAGUUUGAUCCUGGCUCAGGAUGAACGCUAGCGGCAGGCCUAACACAUGCAAGUCGCGGGGCAGCACGUGGGACAGCAAUGUCCCUGGGUGGCGACCGGCGCAAGGGUGCGUAACGCGUGAGCAACCUGCCCGUGUCAGGGGGACAAGCGCUGGAAACGGCGUCUAAUACCCCAUGGUGAUUAUCCCGGGCAUCCGGGAUGAUCUAAAGCAGCAAUGCGGACACGGAUGGGCUCGCGUGGCAUUAGCUAGUCGGCGGGGUAACGGCCCACCGAGGCGACGAUGCCUAGGGGUUCUGAGAGGAAGGUCCCCCACACUGGAACUGAGACACGGUCCAGACUCCUACGGGAGGCAGCAGUGAGGAAUAUUGGUCAAUGGGCGAGAGCCUGAACCAGCCAUGCCGCGUGAAGGUCACGGCCCUACGGGUCUUAAACUUCUUUUGCCUGGGAGCAAUAAGCCGGACGUGUCCGGUGAUGAGAGUACCAGGUGAAUAAGCAUCGGCUAACUCCGUGCCAGCAGCCGCGGUAAUACGGGGGAUGCAAGCGUUAUCCGGAUUUAUUGGGUUUAAAGGGUGCGUAGGCGGCGCUUUAAGUCAGCGGUGAAAUGCCCCCGCUCAACGGGGGAAGUGCCAUUGAUACUGGAGUGCUUGAAUCCCGAUGCCGUUGGAGGAAUGUGUGGUGUAGCGGUGAAAUGCAUAGAUAUCACACAGAACACCGAUUGCGAAGGCAUCUGACGAAUCGGGUAUUGACGCUGAUGCACGAAAGCGUGGGUAUCGAACAGGAUUAGAUACCCUGGUAGUCCACGCUGUAAACGAUGAUGACUAACCGCCGGCGAUACAUUGUCGGUGGCCAAGCGAAAGCGAUAAGUCAUCCACCUGGGGAGUACGGCCGCAAGGCUGAAACUCAAAGGAAUUGACGGGGGCCCGCACAAGCGGAGGAACAUGUGGUUUAAUUCGAUGAUACGCGAGGAACC